UGGGGAAUUUUGGACAAUGGGGGCAACCCUGAUCCAGCAAUGCCGCGUGAGUGAAGAAGGCCUUCGGGUUGUAAACCCCUUUCAGCAGGGACGAUUGUGACGGUACCUGCAGAAGAAGGACCGGCCAACUACGUGCCAGCAGCCGCGGUAAUACGUAGGGUCCGAGCGUUGUCCGGAUUUAUUGGGCGUAAAGAGCUCGUAGGCGGCUCAGUAAGUCGGAUGUGAAAACUCGGGGCUCAACCCCAAGACGCCAUCCGAUACUGCUGUGGCUUGAAUCUGGUAGGGGAGCACGGAAUUCCUGGUGUAGCGGUGAAAUGCGCAGAUAUCAGGAGGAACACCGGUGGCGAAGGCGGUGCUCUGGGCCAGUAUUGACGCUGAGGAGCGAAAGCGUGGGUAGCAAACAGGAUUAGAUACCCAAGUAGUCCCUGAGCGGGCUGGCAAGGCGCAU
rnacentral:rRNA from 1 species